AAAAGCCAAUUUUGCUCAUCUUCAACCCCAUGGCCGAAUAUAGCAAGGAGAAACCAUGGAUAGGGUUUUUCAAGCUUCCAAGCUCGAUUAGCAAGGAAACUUGAAAUUUGGGCUAAAAUGGGGAAAAUACCAAGUUGUGGACGAAAUGGUAAAAAUAGCCAUUUUCGCAUACGAGUGUUGACAAGCCAGCUCGGAAAUCGGAAGCGGUCGGAGGCACGCUCACACUAUCCGUAUACCAUCUUGGCAUAAUGGCUUGUAUAUUUUGAGUAUGGCAUGUAUAGCAUUAUAAUCAUUUUGUAUAUAUGGUCUUAUAAUAUGGUUAUUGAGUGGUAUGGAAAUAGAAA